CCUACGGGUGGCAGCAGUGAGGAAUAUUGGUCAAUGGGCGAGAGCCUGAACCAGCCAAGUCGCGUGAGGGAGUACUGCCCUAUGGGUUGUAAACCUCUUUUGUCGGGGAGCAAAAGCCGGACGUGUCCGGCUGUGAGAGUACCCGAAGAAAAAGCAUCGGCUAACUCCGUGCCAGCAGCCGCGGUAAUACGGAGGAUGCGAGCGUUAUCCGGAUUUAUUGGGUUUAAAGGGUGCGCAGGCGGAUUUUUAAGUCAGCGGUAAAAUCGUGGGGCUCAACCCCAUCCAGCCGUUGAAACUGGGGAUCUAGAGUGUGCGAGAGGUAGGCGGAAUGCGUGGUGUAGCGGUGAAAUGCAUAGAUAUCACGCAGAACCCCGAUUGCGAAGGCAGCAUACCGGUGCACAACUGACGCUCAGGCACGAAAGCGUGGGUAUCGAACAGGAUUAGAUACCCCUGUAGUC
rnacentral:rRNA from 1 species